GUGGGGAAUCUUGCGCAAUGGGCGAAAGCCUGACGCAGCCAUGCCGCGUGAAUGAUGAAGGUCUUAGGAUUGUAAAAUUCUUUCACCGGGGACGAUAAUGACGGUACCCGGAGAAGAAGCUCCGGCUAACUUCGUGCCAGCAGCCGCGGUAAUACGAAGGGGGCUAGCGUUGCUCGGAAUUACUGGGCGUAAAGGGCGCGUAGGCGGACAGCUUAGUCAGAGGUGAAAGCCCAGGGAUCAACCUUGGAAUUGCCUUUGAUACUGGCUGUCUUGAGUUUGGGAGAGGUGAGUGGAACUCCGAGUGUAGAGGUGAAAUUCGUAGAUAUUCGGAAGAACACCAGUGGCGAAGGCGACUCACUGGCCCAAUACUGACGCUGAGGCGCGAAAGCGUGGGGAGCAAACAGGAUUAGAAACCCUAUAGUCC
rnacentral:rRNA from 1 species